AGAAAGUAAUUCGCAUAAUUUAUGCACACAUCUUAUUAAGAACUUUUGUUUCAGGUAAAAGAAAAAAUAAGAAUGAUAACCAACACUUGGAUACAUUAUUACUAGACAACGGGAAAUAUACAGAAAAGCAAGUCGUGGCAGAUGAAAGGAAGAACCCAGGCAAAGUGAAAGGACCUUCAAAUUAUGGAAAUUCAAAUCCGUUAGAGCAGGCGGGCGAUAAUCAAAAUCCUGAAGUCAUUAAUGCAGGUUCUACCACAUCAGACACGUUAAAUACAAAAGAAAAGCCACCGGUAGCAGACGAGGACAAAGCACAAGACAACGUAAAAGAACCUUUAGUUUAUAGCAAUUCAAAUCCGUUAGAGCAGACGGACGAUAAUCAAAAUCCUGAAGUCAAGAAUGCAGGUUCUACCACAUCAGACAAGUUAAAUACAAAAGGUAAGAAAUUCAAGAUAAAAGACAUCAAACGAAACAAUGCUAUGAAGAUAAUUUGUAAAUCAAUUUAUUUCAUU